rnacentral:rRNA from 1 species
UACAUAGGGUGCAAGCGUUAAUCGGAAUUACUGGGCGUAAAGCGUGCGCAGGCGGUUUUGUAAGUCAGAUGUGAAAUCCCCGGGCUUAACCUGGGAACUGCGUUUGAAACUACAAGGCUAGAGUGUGGCAGAGGGGGGUGGAAUUCCACGUGUAGCAGUGAAAUGCGUAGAGAUGUGGAGGAACACCGAUGGCGAAGGCAGCCCCCUGGGUUAACACUGACGCUCAGGCACGAAAGCGUGGGGAGCAAACAGG